AUAUUCUGAAGGUUAAGCAGUCACAUAUACAGAAAGAUCAAAUUCUGAGUGUAAGAGGAAGAGAGAACUCAAAGAUGACUCCAAAGCUUUCAUAUGAACCUCAGAAUGAAUGAGGUUGUCCCUUACUGACAUGAAUCAAAGAAUUUCUCAAUGGAGGCUAAAAUUACAAAUCUGGAUGAGUGCUAAUGUUGAAAGAUGCUGGACCCUGUAACUUUCCAAUUUCAUAUCCUCCACUGUCCCUUUUGUUUUCUAUUCUCCUGCUAACCACGUCCCCUCUCCCCACAAAGACCUUGCACAGGAUGCCUCUUGUUAAGGAUUUGGAUGUGAUCUAAGAAUGAUUAAAAGCAAGCAUUACAUUAUACAACACAGUGAGAUAAAUAGAUUUAUGAUUUGGAAGCUCACUUUGUCUAUAGGUUGGAUAACAGAUUUGGGAGGAGUAGUGUAAAUGAGGGGAACUAGCUAGGAAAUGACUGUAGAGAUCAGGAAUGAGAAGACAGUGGCUUGGACCAGGGUGUCAUCACAUUAGAUAGGCCAAUAUUGCAGGGCCAUUCUAGAAGCACUAAUUUCUAUGAUCUUCCUUAGUACCUAGUUGUCAUAUAGGCAUGGCGGUAGUUGGUAAAUCAGAAAAGGCUGAAUUGAGCUGUGGUAGGAGAAAGACAGGAGGCAACAGCAGGUAUAGAUUAAGUAGAGGAGGAAGUUAAAUGUGGUUUUCUGGGUGGGGCCCUCAGGAAGCUAUGAGCUAUUUCCAGGAAGAGCUGGCACAUUUCUUUGAUGGCCUAGUGGUUUUUAUAUUUUUCUGCCUGAAGUUCACCACUUUCUACCCAUGUACUCCUCUCCUGUUUUCAUGACCCUCCUUAUUUCAGGACCACUUGAAACCCUUCAUUUCUGCCCAACUUCUGGAUGUUCUUCCCUAUACUCUAUUAGACCUCCAAACAGCUUGAGAAGGAGAUAUUAUUGCACAAUGUUUAAGAGCCCUGGCUUCUGAGUUGGACUGGCUUGGAUUUGUAGUAGUUCUAUUACCUACUAACUACCUAAUAGUAGGUAAUAGAACUACCUAAUAGUAGUUCUAUUACCUACUAACUUUGAGGCUUUGGGCUGAUUACUUAAUUUCUUGGUACCUGAUUUUUCAUACCUGUAAACUGGUAGAAAUUAUGAUAACAUCUACUUCAUAGGAUGGUUAUCAUGAUUAAAAAUGCCAGGGAUUUCUUGUUUCUAGUUUGACGUAGAAGCAGCUUGAAGGUCCCCACUCCAUCGUAAAAACAAGUAAAUAUCUGAAGAAAUGGUAAAAAAAAAAAAAAAAAAAAAAAUCAACACUUCUUCUUAGAUACAUAAGAGAAGGAAGAUCACAAGGGAAACUACUGCCCCCAGAAUUGGAGGGACAGAUAGGCAGAUAAAGAGAAUCACAACUUGCUGGAGCAGAAACCUAUGGGCUGAAACAUCCAUUGGAACCAGUGCCAGGGUAGGAAAACCUGAACUAUACAUUGAUUUAUUUCUGGAGGCUCAGUGUCAACAAGUCAGAGAUAAAUCUCCCAGAGGAUCCAGAAGUAGGGAGUACCAUACUUUUAUGGGUUUUACCUCUGGAAGCUCUAAUACAUUCUUACAUUGAAUAUCUGAGAAAAAUUUCCUCACGCUUUGGCAAGAGGAGAAAAAAAGGAAGCAUUUUGAAAUAGAGCAAUGCAUUCUUUUUUUUUUAAACAGGGUCUGCCCUCAGGGGAAGCUGUCUAACCAGAGCCUAACCCACUAGGGUUUUAUCAGAACCUAACUGACCUGAGGAAAAGAAAUACUCAACUCCAGCAAGCUCCAGCCUUCCAAAUGGAGGAGGAGAAAACCCAACUCCAGCCCACUUCAGCUAUCUUGUCCCACAUAAAGGGGAAGUGGAAGAAACCUGAGAAGCAGGCAUGAAGUUCACAGUCCAGAGAUGACAUGAUUUUCUAUGCAAAAAAUUCAAAAUAAUCAACAACAAAAAAAUCCUGAAACUAAUAAAUGAUUAUAGCAAGAUUUCAGGAUAUGAGAUUUAUAUACAAAGGUCAAUUACUUUCAUAUAUACAAGCAAUGAACAAGAGGGAUUUGAAAUUAAAAACGAAACUAUUUACAUUAGUACCCCCA
rnacentral:lncRNA from 1 species